rnacentral:miRNA from 1 species
UAAGUUGUAAAGCAGGGCUGUCCAACCUGCGGCCCCCCAGAUGUUGCUGAACUACAACUCCCAUGAUUCUUUCAAUUCAAAAGAUAGCCAGGGAAUCAUGGGAGUUAUAGUUCAGCACCAUCUGGCGGGAGGAGGGUUGGACAGCCCUGUUGUAAAUUG